GUCAGUGAAGUCACAAAGUCUGCGACACGCCCCUCACUUAUCCCAUUCGGUGACGUCACAAAGUCUGCGACACGCCCCUUCCGUGAUCCCUCACACAGGCAUUUUAUCAUCUCACAUCAUCACAGGAGGGGUGAGUACAGUGAGACAAGAUGUUUUGAGAGCCAGAGACCACGUUCACAUAACUUUUAUUACAAUUUGAAGAUUGAAUUUGGUAGUCUUCUGACCAUGUUGCUGCCAUCCAUCACUCACAAAUCAACUCAUCAUGACCUGUAACCAGGAAUGAAGAGUUGCAAACUUGCCAACUAGCAAUGAAUUGAACUCAGUUGAACUCUGAUGCAGAAAAGAGAAAGAGAGACAGAGCAUGAGCGGGGCAGGGACAGAGAGAGAGGGAGACACAGAAUCUGAAGCAGGCUCCAGGCUCUGAGCUGUCAGCCCAGAGCCCAGUACAGGGCUCAAACCCACAAACUAUGAGAUCAUGACCCCAGGCCAAAGUCGGACACCUAACUUACUGAGCCAUCCAGAUAAGUGGAAGAGUCAAAUGACCAGACUGAGGUUUAUUUGGAGAGAAAGCAAGAAGGGAAGGGGCAGAGAGAGGAAGAGACAGAAUCCCAAGGAGUCUCUCCACAGUCUCUGCAGAGCUCAGUCGUGGGGCUUGAACUCACAAACCCAUGAGAUCAUGACAUGAGCUGAGAUUGAGAUCCGAAAGCUUAGCCAACUAAGCCACCCAGGCACCCCUCAACAUUGAUCUUUUGAAUUGCUCACUUUGGAUGAAACCAGUUGCUAUGCUGUGGUCAAGCAGUUCUAUGAAAAGGAACUGAGAUCUCCCAUGAAGAGCCAGCACCAACCAAAUGAACACCUUGGAAGUGGAUUUGCAACCAGAGUCAAGCCUUCAGAUGACGUCAGCCCCAAAUGUGGACAUCUGACAGUAACUUCACGAGAGACCCCAAGCCAGAACUGCCCAGCCAAGCCACACCUAAAUUCCUGACCCACAGAAAUACAUGCGAGAAUAAAUGAUUACAGUUGUGUUAAGCCACUAAAUUUUGAAGCAAUUUAAUAUGUAGAAAUAGAUCAUUUAUACAAUUGGGAUCAGAACUCAGAUUUGUCUGACCUGAGAACCAUAUCUCUUAUUAUUUUUUUCCCCCUUACUACCUAUGUUAUAAAAUAGCUUGUCUUGCUGAGUGUGACUCAAACAGUAGCCCCAGGAGUAAAGUAUGGAAUCCAGGAGAGUAUUUGAUUCUAAAACCACACAAUAUGCCCCAGUUAGAAAGCUAACAAUUGUAGCUUCAACCUUCAACUCCAAAUAAAAGGUUGUUUUCCUAA